rnacentral:rRNA from 1 species
UUUNNANACCUAGUAAUAGGUAUGCUUUAGGAGGGGCUUGCGCCAUAUUAGUUAGUUGGUAGGGUAAUGGCCUACCAAGACGAUGAUGUGUAGCUGGACUGAGAGGUUGAACAGCCACAUUGGGACUGAGACACGGCCCAAACUCCUACGGGAGGCAGCAGUAGGGAAUUUUCGGCAAUGGAGGAAACUCUGACCGAGCAACGCCGCGUGAAUGACGAAGUACUUCGGUAUGUAAAGUUCUUUUAUCAAGGAAGAAAAGCAAAUGGCGAACCAUUUGUUUGCCGGUACUUGAUGAAUAAGCCCCGGCUAAUUAUGUGCCAGCAGCCGCGGUAAGACAUAAGGGGCAAGUGUUAUCCGGAAUUAUUGGGCGUAAAGGGUGCGUAGGCGGUCUAGUAAGUCAGUGGUGUAAUGGCAACGCUUAACGUUGUCCGGCUAUUGAAACUGCUAAACUUGAGUUAGAUAGAGGCGAGUGGAAUUCCAUGUGUAGCGGUAAAAUGCGUAAAUAUAUGGAGGAACACCAGAGGCGUAGGCGGCUCGCUGGGUCUUAACUGACGCUGAGGCACGAAAGCGUGGGGAGCAAACAGGAUUAGAUACCCUGGUAGUCCACGCCGUAAACGAUGAGUACUAAGUGUCGGGUUAAACCGGUACUGAAGUUAACACAUUAAGUACUCCGCCUGAGUAGUACGUACGCAAGUAUGAAACUUAAAGGAAUUGACGGGACUCCGCACAAGCGGUGGAUCAUGUUGUUUAAUUCGAAGAUACCCGAAAAACCUUACCAGGUCUUGACAUGUUUUUGCAAAAUGAUAGUAAUAUCGUGGAGGUUACCAGAAACACAGGUGGUGCAUGGUUGUCGUCAGCUCGUGUCGUGAGAUGUUAGGUUAAGUCCUAAAACGAGCGAAACCCUUAUCGUUAGUUGCCAGCACGUUAUGGUGGGGACUUUAACGAGACUGCCAAUGAUAAAUUGGAGGAAGGUGAGGAUCACGUCAAAUCAGCAUGCCCCUUAUGACCUGGGCUACAAACGUGAUACAAUGGCUGUUACAAAGGGUAGCUGAAACGCAAGUUCUUGGCCAAUCCCCAAAAACAGUCCCAGUCCGGAUUGAAGUCUGCAACUNGACUU